rnacentral:rRNA from 1 species
GUUACGCUAAUACCGCAUAUUCUGUGAGCAGGGAAAGCGGGGGAUCGCAAGACCUCGCGCUUCCGGAGCGGCCGAGUGUCGGAUUAGCUAGUUGGCGGGGUAAAGGCCCACCAAGGCAACGAUCCGUAGCGGGGUCUGAGAGGAUGAUCCGCCACACUGGGACUGAGACACGGCCCAGACUCCUACGGGAGGCAGCAGUGGGGAAUUUUGGACAAUGGGCGCAAGCCUGAUCCAGCCAUGCCGCGUGAGUGAAGAAGGCCUUCGGGUUGUAAAGCUCUUUCGGCUGGGAAGAAAUCGCAUCUCCUAAUACGGGGUGUGGAUGACGGUACCAGCAUAAGAAGCACCGGCUAACUACGUGCCAGCAGCCGCGGUAAUACGUAGGGUGCGAGCGUUAAUCGGAAUUACUGGGCGUAAAGCGUGCGCAGGCGGUUUCGUAAGACAGAGGUGAAAUCCCCGGGCUCAACCUGGGAACUGCCUUUGUGACUGCGAGGCUAGAGUAUGGCAGAGGGGGG